UACGUAGGGUGCAAGCGUUGUCCGGAAUUAUUGGGCGUAAAGAGCUCGUAGGCGGUUUGUCGCGUCUGCCGUGAAAGUCCGGGGCUCAACUCCGGAUCUGCGGUGGGUACGGGCAGACUAGAGUGAUGUAGGGGAGACUGGAAUUCCUGGUGUAGCGGUGAAAUGCGCAGAUAUCAGGAGGAACACCGAUGGCGAAGGCAGGUCUCUGGGCAUUAACUGACGCUGAGGAGCGAAAGCUAGGGGAGCGAACAGG
rnacentral:rRNA from 1 species